GGAAGUAAAAGUCGUAACUAGGUCUCCGUUGGUGAACCAGCGGAGGGAUCAUUACAGGACUCGCAAGACUCCUACAACCCUGUGAACUUAACUAUAAGCACGUUGCUUCGGCGGGUGUCUCGGAGGGGGUUCUCCCUCCCCGAGACGCUAAACCCGCCGGCAGCCUACUAUACUCUGUCUCUUUGCGUUGGCAUCUCGAGUACAAUCAAACAAGUUAAAACUUUCAACAACGGAUCUCUUGGUUCUG
rnacentral:misc_RNA from 1 species